AGGUGGAGGUAUGGACUAGACUGAGGAUAGGUGGAGGUAUGGACUAGACUAGAGGAUAGGUGGAGGUAUGGACUAGACUAGAGGAUAGGUGGAGGUAUGGACUAGACUAGAGGAUAGGUGGAGGUAUGGACUAGACUAGAGGACAGGUGGAGGUAUGGACUAGACUAGAGGAUAGGUGGAGGUAUGGACUAGACUAGAGGAUAGGUGGAGGUAUGGACUAGACUAGAGGAUAGGUGGAGGUAUGGACUAGACUAGAGGAUAGGUGGAGGUAUGGACUAGACUAGAGGAUAGGUGGAGGUAUGGACUAGACUAGAGGACAGGUGGAGGUAUGGACUAGACUAGAGGAUAGGUGGAGGUAUUAACUAGACUAGAGGAUAGGUGGAGGUAUUAACUAGACUAGAGGAAGGUGGAGGUAUGGACUAGACUAGAGGAUAGGUGGAGUAUGGACUAGACUAGAGGACAGGUGGAGGUAUGGACUAGACUAGAGGACAGGUGGAGGUAUAGACUAGACUAGAGGACAGGUGGAGGUAUGGACUAGACUAGAGGAUAGGUGGAGGUAUGGACUAGACUAGAGGAUAGGUGGAGGUAUGGACUAGCUAGAGGAUAGGUGGAGGUAUUAACUAGACUAGAGGAUAGGUGGAGGUAUGGACUAGACUAGAGGACAGGUGGAGGUAUGGACUAGACUAGAGGAUAGGUGGAGGUAUUAACUAGACUAGAGGAUAGGUGGAGGUAUAGACUAGACUAGAGGACAGGUGGAGGUAUGGACUAGACUAGAGGAUAGGUGGAGGUAUGGACUAGACUAGAGGAUAGGUGGAGGUAUAGACUAGACUAGAGGACAGGUGGAGGUAUGGACUAGACUAGAGGACAGGUGGAGGUAUGGACUAGACUAGAGGAUAGGUGGAGGUAUGGACUAGACUAGAGGAUAGGUGGAGGACUAGACUAGAGGAUAGGUGGAGGACUAGACUAGAGGGAGUUUCACCAUGAAUUUGCUUUGAUACCCAAGAAAGCAAGUGAACAAGUGCACACUUUGGUAGAAAGGACAGAUUAUUGGGCCCAGUGCUAAACUCCCUCCUUAGGUUUCUAUUGGGAAGUAGGGAGGGGAACGGAACGGAUAGCGGGAGGAGAGGUGUAUCACCGCAGAGCUGAGGGUCAAAGGUCAUUGCACAAUAUUAUAGACUUGCUGUUCUGUAAAAGCCUAAUAUGCAAUGCAUUGUUUAUUAUUAUUAUUACCAUAAUAAAAUAUGAUAAAAUAUA